AUGAACGCUAGCUACAGGCUUAACACAUGCAAGUCGAGGGGCAGCAUGGUCUUAGCUUGCUAAGGCCGAUGGCGACCGGCGCACGGGUGAGUAACACGUAUCCAACCUGCCGUCUACUCUUGGACAGCCUUCUGAAAGGAAGAUUAAUACAAGAUGGCAUCAUGAGUCCGCAUGUUCACAUGAUUAAAGGUAUUCCGGUAGACGAUGGGGAUGCGUUCCAUUAGAUAGUAGGCGGGGUAACGGCCCACCUAGUCUUCGAUGGAUAGGGGUUCUGAGAGGAAGGUCCCCCACAUUGGAACUGAGACACGGUCCAAACUCCUACGGGAGGCAGCAGUGAGGAAUAUUGGUCAAUGGGCGAGAGCCUGAACCAGCCAAGUAGCGUGAAGGAUGACUGCCCUAUGGGUUGUAAACUUCUUUUAUAAAGGAAUAAAGUCGGGUAUGGAUACCCGUUUGCAUGUACUUUAUGAAUAAGGAUCGGCUAACUCAGUGCCAGCAGCCGCGGUAAUACGGAGGAUCCGAGCGUUAUCCGGAUUUAUUGGGUUUAAAGGGAGCGUAGAUGGAUGUUUAAGUCAGUUGUGAAAGUUUGCGGCUCAACCGUAAAAUUGCAGUUGAUACUGGAUAUCUUGAGUGCAGUUGAGGCAGGCGGAAUUCGUGGUGUAGCGGUGAAAUGCUUAGAUAUCACGAAGAACUCCGAUUGCGAAGGCAGCCUGCUAAGCUGCAACUGACAUUGAGGCUCGAAAGUGUGGGUAUCAAACAGGAUUAGAUACCCUGGUAGUCCACGCCGUAAACGAUGAAUACUAACUGUUUGCGAUACAAUGUAAGCGGUACAGCGAAAGCGUUAAGUAUUCCACCUGGGGAGUACGUUCGCAAGAAUGAAACUCAAAGGAAUUGACGGGGGCCCGCACAAGCAGUGGAGUAUGUGGUUUAAUUCGACGCAACGCGAAGAACCUUACCAGGUCUUGACAUCCGGCUAACGAAGCAGAGAUGCAUUAGGUGCCCUUCGGGGAAAGUCGAGACAGGUGGUGCAUGGUUGUCGUCAGCUCGUGUCGUGAGAUGUUGGGUUAAGUCCCGCAACGAGCGCAACCCUUGUUGUCAGUUACUAACAGGUUCCGCUGAGGACUCUGACAAGACUGCCAUCGUAAGAUGUGAGGAAGGUGGGGAUGACGUCAAAUCAGCACGGCCCUUACGUCCGGGGCUACACACGUGUUACAAUGGGGGGUACAGAGGGCCGCUACCACGCGAGUGGAUGCCAAUCCCCAAAACCUCUCUCAGUUCGGACUGGAGUCUGCAACCCGACUCCACGAAGCUGGAUUCGCUAGUAAUCGCGCAUCAGCCACGGCGCGGUGAAUACGUUCCCGGGCCUUGUACACACCGCCCGUCAAGCCAUGGGAGCCGGGGGUACCUGAAGUGCGUAACCGCGAGGAGCGCCCUAGGGUAAAACUGGUGACUGGGGCU
rnacentral:rRNA from 1 species